GAUCCUGGAUCAGGACGAACGCUGGCGGCGCGCCUAACACAUGCAAGUCGAACGAGAGAUGAAGAGCUUGCUCUUCAAAUCGAGUGGCGAACGGGUGAGUAACGCGUGAGGAACCUGCCUCAAAGAGGGGGACAACAGUUGGAAACGACUGCUAAUACCGCAUAAGCCCACAGCUCGGCAUCGAGCAGAGGGAAAAGGAGUGAUCCGCUUUGAGAUGGCCUCGCGUCCGAUUAG
rnacentral:rRNA from 1 species